UACGUAGGGUGCAAGCGUUAAAUCGGAAUUACUGGGCGUAAAGCGUGCGCAGGCGGUUGUGCAAGACAGAUGUGAAAUCCCCGGGCUCAACCUGGGAACUGCAUUUGUGACUGCACAGCUUGAGUGCGGCAGAGGGGGAUGGAAUUCCGCGUGUAGCAGUGAAAUGCGUAGAUAUGCGGAGGAACACCGAUGGCGAAGGCAAUCCCCUGGGCCUGCACUGACGCUCAUGCACGAAAGCGUGGGGAGCAAACAGG
rnacentral:rRNA from 1 species